rnacentral:rRNA from 1 species
CGGUGAAUACGUUCCCGGACCUUGCACACACCGCCCGUCAAGUCAUGGAAGCUGGGUGUACCUAAAGUCGGUAACCGUAAGGAGCCGCCUAGGGUAAAACUAGUGACUGGGGCU